UACAGGGGGGGCAAGCGUUGUUCGGAAUUACUGGGCGUAAAGGGCUCGUAGGCGGCCAACUAAGUCAUACGUGAAAUCCCUCGGCUUAACCGGGGAACUGCGUCUGAUACUGGAUGGCUUGAGUUCGGGAGAGGGAUGCGGAAUUCCAGGUGUAGCGGUGAAAUGCGUAGAUAUCUGGAGGAACACCGGUGGCGAAGGCGGCAUCCUGGACCGAUACUGACGCUGAUGAGCGAAAGCCAGGGGAGCAAACGGG
rnacentral:rRNA from 1 species